UACGAAGGGGGCUAGCGUUGCUCGGAAUUACUGGGCGUAAAGGGUGCGUAGGCGGCGCGGUAAGUCGGGUGUGAAAUCUCGGAGCUUAACUCCGAAACUGCAUUCGAUACUGCCGUGCUUGAGGACUGGAGAGGAGACUGGAAUUUACGGUGUAGCGGUGAAAUGCGUAGAUAUCGUAAGGAAGACCAGUGGCGAAGGCGGGUCUCUGGACAGUUCCUGACGCUGAGGCACGAAGGUCAGGGGAGCAAACAGG
rnacentral:rRNA from 1 species